GGUCAGGUCGCCUAGCGGCAGGUCAGGUCCAGGUCAGGUCGCCUAGCGGCAGGUCAGGUCCAGGUCAGGUCACCUAGCGGCAGGUCAGGUCCAGGUCGCCUAGCGGCAGGUCAGGUCCAGGUCAGGUCGCCUAGCGGCAGGUCAGGUCCAGGUCCAGGUCGCCUAGCGGCAGGUCAGGUCCAGGUCAGGUCCAGGUCAGGUCAGGUCCAGGUCAGGUCGCCUAGCGGCAGGUCAGGUCCAGGUUAGGUCGCCUAGCGGCAGGUCAGGUCCAGGUCGCCUGGCUGCAGGUCAGGUCCAGGUCGCCUGGCGGCAGGUCAGGUCCAGGUCGCCUGGCGGCAGGUCAGGUCCAGGUCAGGUCGCCUAGCGGCAGGUCAGGUCCAGGUCGCCUAGCGGCAGGUCAGGUCCAGGUCAGGUCAGGUCCAGGUCAGGUCGCCUAGCGGCAGGUCAGGUCCAGGUCAGGUCGCCUAGCGGCAGGUCAGGUCCAGGUCAGGUCAGGUCCAGGUCAGGUCGCCUAGCGGCAGGUCAGGUCCAGGUCGCCUGGCGGCAGUUCAGGUCCAGGUCGCCUGGCGGCAGGUCAGGUCCAGGUCAGGUCGCCUGGCGGCAGGUCAGGUCCAGGUCAGG
rnacentral:lncRNA from 1 species